UACAGAGGUCCCAAGCGUUGUUCGGAUUCACUGGGCGUAAAGGGUGCGUAGGUGGCGGGGUAAGUCGGAUGUGAAAUCUCCGAGCUCAACUCGGAAAUGGCAUUGGAACCUACCUUGCUCGAGGGUUGGAGGGGGGACUGGAAUGCUUGGUGUAGCAGUGAAAUGCGUAGAUAUCAAGCGGAACACCAGUGGCGAAGGCGAGUCCCUGGACAACUCCUGACACUGAGGCACGAAAGCUAGGGGAGCAAACAGG
rnacentral:rRNA from 1 species